UACAGAGGGGGCAAGCGUUGUUCGGAAUUACUGGGCGUAAAGGGCGCGUAGGCGGCCUGUUAAGUCGAACGUGAAAUCCCCGGGCUCAACCCGGGAACUGCGUCCGAUACUGGCAGGCUUGAAUUCGGGAGAGGGAUGCGGAAUUCCAGGUGUAGCGGUGAAAUGCGUAGAUAUCUGGAGAACACCGGUGGCGAAGGCGGCAUCCUGGACCGAGAUUGACGCUGAGGCGCGAAA
rnacentral:rRNA from 1 species